CCUACGGGUGGCAGCAGUGGGGGAUAUUGCACAAUGGGGGGAACCCUGAUGCAGCGACGCCGCGUGGGUGAAGAAGCGCCUCGGCGCGUAAAGCCCUGUCAUCAGGGAAGAAAAUGACGGUACCUGAAGAAGAAGCCCCGGCUAACUCCGUGCCAGCAGCCGCGGUAAUACGGAGGGGGCAAGCGUUAUCCGGAUUUACUGGGGGUAAAGGGGGCGCAGACGGCGAUGCAAGCCAGGAGUGAAAGCCCGGGGCCCAACCCCGGGACUGCUCUUGAAACUGCGUGGCUGGAGUGCAGGAGGGGCAGGCGGAAUUCUUGGUGUAGCGGUGAAAUGCGUAGAGAUCAGGAGGAACACCGAUGGCGAAGGCGACCUGCUAGACUGUAACUGACGUUGAGGCGCGAAAGCGUGGGGAGCAAACAGGAGUAGAUACCCCAGUAGUC
rnacentral:rRNA from 1 species